AAUAAGCGGAGGAAAAGAAACUAACAAGGAUUCCCCUAGUAACUGCGAGUGAAGCGGGAAAAGCUCAAAUUUAAAAUCUGGCGGUCUUUGGCCGUCCGAGUUGUAAUUUAGAGAAGCGUCUUCCGCGCCGGACCGUGCACAAGUCUCCUGGAAUGGAGCGUCAUAGAGGGUGAGAAUCCCGUCUUUGGCACGGAUGCCCGGUGCUUCUGUGAUGCGCUCUCGAAGAGUCGAGUUGUUUGGGAAUGCAGCUCAAAAUGGGUGGUGAACUCCAUCUAAAGCUAAAUAUUGGCGAGAGACCGAUAGCGAACAAGUACCGUGAGGGAAAGAUGAAAAGCACUUUGGAAAGAGAGUGAAACAGUACGUGAAAUUGUUGAAAGGGAAACGCUUGAAGUCAGUCGCGUCGACCGAGACUCAGCCUUGCCUUGGCUUGGUGUACUUCUCGGCCCGACGGGUCAGCGUCAAUUUUGCCCCUCGGAUAAUGGCAAGGGAAAGGUGGCACCUUUACGGGUGUGUUAUAGUCUCCUGUCGCAUGCGGGGGGUGGGAUUGAGGAACUCAGCGCGCACCUUGGUGUCGGGGCUUCUGCCCACGUCACGCGCUUAGGAUGCUGGCGUA
rnacentral:rRNA from 1 species